AACGAACGCUGGCGGCAUGCCUAACACAUGCAAGUCGAACGAUUGCCUUCGGGUGAUAGUGGCGCACGGGUGCGUAACGCGUGGGAAUCUGCCCUUAGGUUCGGAAUAACAGCUGGAAACGGCUGCUAAUACCGGCUGAUAUCGCGAGAUCAAAGAUUUAUCGCCUGAGGAUGAGCCCGCGUUGGAUUAGGUAGUUGGUGGGGUAAAGGCCUACCAAGCCGACGAUCCAUAGCUGGUCUGAGAGGAUGAUCAGCCACACUGGGACUGAGACACGGCCCAGACUCCUACGGGAGGCAGCAGUGGGGAAUAUUGGACAAUGGGCGCAAGCCUGAUCCAGCAAUGCCGCGUGAGUGAUGAAGGCCCUAGGGUUGUAAAGCUCUUUUACCCGGGAAGAUAAUGACUGUACCGGGAGAAUAAGCCCCGGCUAACUCCGUG
rnacentral:rRNA from 1 species